rnacentral:lncRNA from 1 species
CCCUCCAGGCUGCCGUGGGCUGUAGGGCUUCACUGGAUUGUGGAGUCACCGCUCAUUUCUAGGAAGCAGAGGCCUGC